rnacentral:misc_RNA from 1 species
GAUGAAGAACGUAGUGAAAUGCGAUACUUGGUGUGAAUUGCAGAAUCCCGUGAACCAUCGAGUCUUUGAACGCAAGUUGCGCCCGAAGCCACUAGGCCGAGGGCACGCCUGCCUGGGCGUCACACGCCGUUGCCCCCCCAUCUACUCCUUCGGGAUUGCGGGGGGGCGGAUGAUGGCCUCCUGUGCGCCUAGCCGCGCGGUUGGCAUAAAUACCAAGUCCUCGGCGACGCACGCCACAACAAUCGGUGGUUGCGAAACCUCGGUUGCCCGUCGUGUGCGUUCGUCGCGCAUCGAGGGCUCGAAAAAAUGCUCGGCUCCGGCUGGGCUUUCAACGCGACCCCAGGUCAGGCGGGGUUACCCGCUGAAUUUAAGCAUAUCAAUAAGCGGAGGA